AAAGCAAAUCGUUCUAUCGCUCUAAACUUGUUUUGGAGAGGAAAGUCCGGGCAGCACAGAGAAUCCGACCUAGCGAAAGCUAGGGUGUUCUAAAAGAGAUUGAGGAAUAACAGCUAGUGCAAUAGAAAAUAGACUACCGUAUUUAUACGGAAAAGCUGAAAAGGUGAGGUAAGAGCUCACCAGUUACAAGAGUAAUUUUGUAAGCUAGGUAAACCUUCGGAGCUGAAAAAUCAAAUAAACCAAGAAUUGAGGGUUUCUCGCCCUUCCGAUAGCUAUCGGAACUUGGAGGGUAGAUUGUUGGAGGAUAAGGGCAACUUUAUUCCUAGAUAAAUGAUAGAACUCGACAGGAUCUGGCUUAUAGAUUUGUAUUUUAA
rnacentral:RNase_P_RNA from 1 species